CAGUAGCCGCGGUAAUACGAAGGGUGCAAGCGUUAAUCGGAAUUACUGGGCGUAAAGCGUGCGUAGGCGGUGAGUUAAGUCUGUUGUGAAAUCCCCGGGCUCAACUUGGGAAUGGCAAUGGAUACUGGCAAGCUAGAGUGUGUCAGAGGAUGGUGGAAUUCCCGGUGUAGCGGUGAAAUGCGUAGAGAUCGGAAGGAACAUCUGUGGCGAAGGCGACUAUCUGGGCCAACACUGACACUGAGGCACGAAAGCGUGGGGAGCAAACAGGAUUAGAGACCCCUGUAGUCCCUGUCUCUUAUAC
rnacentral:rRNA from 1 species